rnacentral:tRNA from 1 species
GAGCGAGUGCAGUGAAGGCCUUCUGACUUUUAAUCAGAGGGUCCUGGGUUCGAGUCCCAGCGCGCUCACCA